ACGAACGCUGGCGGCAGGCUUAACACAUGCAAGUCGAACGCCCCGCGGGGAGUGGCAGACGGGUGAGUAACGCGUGGGAAUCUACCCAUCUCUACGGAAUAACGUGGAAACGUGUGCUAAUACCGUAUACGCCCUACGGGGGAAAGAUUUAUCGGGGAUGGAAGCCCGCGUUGGAUUAGCUAGUUGGUGGGGUAAAGGCCUACCAAGGCGACGAUCCAUAUGGUCUGAGAGGAUGAUCAGCCACAUUGGGACUGAGACACGGCCCAAACUCCUACGGGGCAGCAGUGGGGAAUAUUGGACAAUGGGCGCAAGCCUGAUCCAGCCAUGCCGCGUGAGAUGAAGGCCUUAGGGUUGUAAAGCUCUUUCACCGGAGAAGAUAAUGGCGGUAUCCGGAAGAAGCCCCGGCUAACUUCGUGCCAGCAGCCGCGGUAAUACGAAGGGGGCUAGCGUUGCGGAAUUACUGGGCGUAAAGCGCACGUAGGCGGACUUUUAAGUCAGGGGUGAAAUCCCGGCUCAACCCCGGAACUGCCUUUGAUACUGGAAGUCUGGAGUAUGGAAGAGGUAAGUGAUUCCGAGUGUAGGGGUGAAAUUCGUAGAUAUUCGGAGGAACACCAGUGGCGAAGGCGUUACUGGUCCAUUACUGACGCUGAGGUGCGAAAGCGUGGGGAGCAAACAGGAUUAGAUCCUGGUAGCCCACGCCGUAAACGAUGAAUGUUAGCCGUCGGGCAGUAUACUGUUCGGU
rnacentral:rRNA from 1 species